rnacentral:misc_RNA from 1 species
CGCAGAUCAGAACUCAGGAGUUAGAUGCUUGGAGCCAUUUAGGUGGUACAAUACAAAAUGGACAACAGAUGGUACAACGAUGAACUGGAAAGAAAUGGCCAAUACAAAAGUCAACAAGAUAAGGAGCAGCUAAGCAAAAGUGUGAUUACCAGGAUUCUCUAAUCGAGGAUUUGGUGGAAGAUUUUCGCUUGCCAAUUAGUCACAAACCCACAGAAAAUGUCUAUCUGGAUAAUGUUGAGCAGGCAUCUCGGGACACAAAGUUGACAGCAUCUAAAAUUGGGUUCAGG